CUGCAGCCUAGGGCGGGAGGUGCCGCUGGGCGGGGCAGCAGCUGAUGCCGAGCCGGGAAUUUGCAGCCGCGGGCUUCCGGACUCAGACACCACCAGAUCUGGGCGUGCACGCCCGGGAUUCGCGGGAUUUUUUGGGAGGGUGCAGCCGAGGUCCCGGGAGGCGGGGCGGUCGAGGCCCAAGCACCGAUUGGGGGAACUAGCCAGAGAAAUAAACAGUCCCCAGUCGAGGGCGAAGUCAGAAUUUGUGCAGCCUUCUACCAUGAUCGCCUUUUUUUUUUUUUUUUUUUUUUUUUUUUUUUUUACAGGUUUGGGAAGCAAGCCUGAGACCUACAGAUGAAGUCAUUGACUCCACAGCCCAGUUGAGAGCCCAAACGAAGUGAAAUUGACCAUCACUUGAGGUUUUCAUACCUUAUUAUAAAACGGCCUAGAAUUUACAUCAAGAUCACCGUCUUGCAAAUAGGUACUCAAGAUGGGAAGAAAGUACAGACGCAUACCCUGGAGCAGUGAACAAAGAAAACAAGUGACCGGCAAAUGUGGUAACAUACAAGGAUGCCUCCUCCAUUCGUCCUCUUGACCACCUGGAUAUGUCUCGGAGCUUCUGAUUACAUCCUUGACGAUGCCCAUCGAAAGCAAGCUAGCAUCUUGGGAGCGAGAGAUCCAUCAUUCAGGAAGCGCUAAUCAACCACUGGUACUGCUGUUGCAGACUGACUGACAGCGAAUAGGUAAAUUCUAUAAUGAUUACACUUGCGUAUCUUUUUAUUUUCUACCCCACCCAAAGGGAGCUUGAGGACCCUAAAGACCCUAACACAUCUGAAAAGUCUCGUGUAUAUGUUUUUCCAAUCUUGAAUGUACUACAGUUUGAUUUUGCUUCAUGGUGUUUGUUCCUUGUGGCAGUUUACUACUACAAGUAAGUCUCUGUCCCAUUCCCACAUGUAGGCUUUUCUGAUAGCUAUUGAAGCUGAUUUAUGUUGGACUCACUCCAAUGAAGGGUUUGUGCAAUCCAGUGGGAAUAUCUGUCAAAAGAAGCGAUUUCCUGGAGGUUUAAAUUAUUGGGUUAAUAUACUAAGUAUUUUCUACAAAAUCACUUUUGGUAGAGAAUGUUAGUUGAGAAGGUUAACCUAAUACAUAUCAAGAAAUGCAAGCAUUUCCCCUGAGGUCUGGGAACUGUUUGGAAACAGCAAGUUGGCAAUAAUACAAAAUUGAGUAAGAAUGAGAAAGCAGUUUGGAAGGUUCUGGAACUAGCUCACUGUAAACCAGAAGAAGCUGCAUCCUCAUUAAAGAUCCUGAAAGCAUCACAAUUAUGGAGAGAUAGAAUGUUACAUCUCUAGAGUUAUCUUAGACCCUUUAU